rnacentral:rRNA from 1 species
CAGGCCUAACACAUGCAAGUCGAGCGGACUUAUCCUUCGGGAUAGGUUAGCGGCGGACGGGUGAGUAACACGUAGGCAACCUGCCUGUAAGAUCGGGAUAACUACCGGAAACGGUAGCUAAGACCGGAUAGCUGGUUUCUCCGCAUGGGGGAAUCAUGAAACAUGGGGCAACCUAUGGCUUACGGAUGGGCCUGCGGCGCAUUAGCUAGUUGGUGGGGUAAUGGCCCACCAAGGCGACGAUGCGUAGCCGACCUGAGAGGGUGAUCGGCCACACUGGGACUGAGACACGGCCCAGACUCCUACGGGAGGCAGCAGUAGGGAAUCUUCCGCAAUGGGCGCAAGCCUGACGGAGCAACGCCGCGUGAGUGAUGAAGGUUUUCGGAUCGUAAAGCUCUGUUGCCAAGGAAGAACGCCUCGGAGAGUAACUGCUCUGAGGGUGACGGUACUUGAGAAGAAAGCCCCGGCUAACUACGUGCCAGCAGCCGCGGUAAUACGUAGGGGGCAAGCGUUGUCCGGAAUUAUUGGGCGUAAAGCGCGCGCAGGCGGUCUUUUAAGUUUGGUGUUUAAGCCCGGGGCUCAACCCCGGUUCGCACUGAAAACUGGGAGACUUGAGUGCAGGGGAGGAAAGCGGAAUUCCACGUGUAGCGGUGAAAUGCGUAGAGAUGUGGAGGAACACCAGUGGCGAAGGCGGCUUUCUGGACUGUAACUGACGCUGAGGCGCGAAAGCGUGGGGAGCAAACAGGAUUAGAU